UUCGUGGUCAAGCUACUAAGAGCGAACGGUGGAUGCCUUGGCGCCGGGAAGCGAUGAAGGACGUGGCAAGCUGCGAUAAGCCUCGGGGAGCCGCAAGCAGGCACCGAUCCGAGGAUGUCCGAAUGGGGGAACCUGGGUGGGGUAAUGCCCACUCGUCCGUGACUGAAUCCAUAGGUCACGGCACGCGAACCGGGGGAACUGAAACAUCUCAGUACCUCGAGGGAAAAGAAAGCAACCGCGAUUGCCCGAGUAGCGGCGAGCGAAAGGGCACCAGCCUAAACCAGGUCCGAGCGAUCGGGCCUGGGGUUGCGGGGCGCUCACGGGGGCAACCCGGAGAGUUACCAAAUCAGGCGAUAGUCGAAGGCUCUGGAAAGAGCCGCCACAGACGGUGAUAGCCCGGUAGACGAAAUCGCACUGAUCUCUCUGGUGAGCGUUCCCAAGUACUACGGGACACGUGCAACCCCGUAGGAAUCUGGGGGGACCACCCUCCAAGGCUAAAUAUUCCCCGGCGACCGAUAGUGAACCAGUACCGUGAGGGAAAGGCGAAAAGAACCCCGGUGAGGGGAGUGAAAAAGAACCUGAAACCGUUUGCUUACAAGCGGCAGGAGGGCUAUGCCGUCGCAAGACGGAAGGCCUGACUGCGUGCCUUUUGCAUAAUGAGCCGGCGAGUUACUGGUACGUGGCGAGGUUAAGCGUCGAAGGCGCGGAGCCGUAGCGAAAGCGAGUCCUAAUAGGGCGACAAGUCGCGUGCCGUAGACCCGAAGCCAAGUGAUCUACCCCUGGCCAGGGUGAAGCCGCUCUAAACAGCGGUGGAGGCCCGAACCGGUAUUGGUUGAAAACAGUUCGGAUGAGCUGGGGGUCGGAGCGAAAGACUAAUCAAACUUGGAGAUAGCUGGUUCUCCCCGAAAUAGCUUUAGGGCUAGCCUCGCGCGUGACGUGUGGUGGUAGAGCUCUGAAUGGGCUAGGGGUCCUACCAGAUUACCAACCCCAAUCAAACUCCAAAUGCCAUACGUUGAAGCGCGGGAGUCAGACGACGCGGGAUAAGCUGCGUGGUCGAGAGGGAAACAACCCAGAUCGUCAGCU
rnacentral:rRNA from 1 species